rnacentral:rRNA from 1 species
UACGAAGGGGGCUAGCGUUGUUCGGAAUUACUGGGCGUAAAGGGCGCGCAGGCGGCCCUCCAAGUCAGGCGUGAAAGCCCCGGGCUCAACCCGGGAAUAGCGCUUGAGACUGGGGGGCUUGAGUUCGGGAGAGGAGAGUGGAAUUCCCAGUGUAGAGGUGGAAUUCGUAGAUAUUGGGAAGAACACCGGUGGCGAAGGCGGCUCUCUGGACCGACACUGACGCUGAGGCGCGAAAGCGUGGGGAGCAAACAGG